rnacentral:lncRNA from 1 species
CCCGGAGGUUCCUGCAGAGCAUUGGUGACAACUUCUUGACACAGGUGGUGGAGGAGCCAACAAGGAGAGGUGUGCUGCUGGACCUCGUACUAACAAACAAAGAAGGACUGGUGGAAGAUGUGAAGGUCGGGGGCAGCCUUGGCUGCAGUGACYRUGAGAUGGUGGAGUUCAGGAUCCUGCRAGGAGGAGGCAGGGCACUAAGUAGGAUCGCAACCCUGGACUUCAGGAGAGCAAACUUUGGCCUCUUCAGGGACCUACUUGGAGGAAUCCCAUGGGUUAGGGCCCUAGAAGGAAGGGGCGUUCAAGAGAGCUGGUUAAUAUUCAAACAUCACCUCCUCUGGGCUCAAGAGCGGUGCAUCCCUAUGAGUAAGAAGUCAAGCAAAGGAGGCAGGAGACCUGCAUGGAUGAGCAAGGAGCUCCUGGCAAAACUCAACCAGAAGAAGGAAGUAUACAGAAAGUGGAAAGGGGGACAGGCCACUUGGGAGGAAUAUAGGAAUGUUGUCAGAGUAUGCAGGGAUGCGACGAGGAAGGCUAAGGCCUGUUUGGAAUUAAAUCUGGCUAGAGAUGUCAAGGACAGCAAGAAGGGCUUCUUCAAAUACAUCAGUAGCAAGAGGAAGACUAGGGAAAAUGUGGGCCCUUUGCUGAAUGGGGUGGGUGCCCUGGUGACGAAGGAUGCAGAGAAGGCAGAGUUACUGAAUGCCGCCUUUGCUUCAGUCUUUACUGCUCAGGCCAGCCCUCAGGAACCCCAGACCCUGGAGGCAAGAGAGAAAGGCUGGAGGAAGGAAGACUUUCCCUUGGUGGAGGAGGAGUGGGUUAGAGAUCAUUUAAGCAAACUUGACACCCACAAAUCCAUGGGCCCUGAUGGGAUGGACCCACGAGUGCUGAGGGAGCUGGCGGACGUUAUUGCUAAGCCACUCUCCAUCAUCUUUGAAAGGUCAUGGAGAACAGGAGAGGUGCCUGAGGACUGGAAGAAAGCCAAUGUCACCCCAGCCUUCAAAAAGGGCAAGAAGGAGGACCCAGGGAACUACAGGCCAGUCAGCCUCCCCUGCAUCCCUGGAAAGGUGAUGGAGCAGCUCAUCCUGGAGGCCAUCUCCAAGCAUGUGGAGGACAAGAAGGUGAUCAGGAGUAGUCAGCAUGGCUUCACCAAGGGGAAAUCAUGCUUAACCAACCUGAUAGCCUUCUCUGAUGGAAUGACUGGCUGGGUAGAUGAGGGGAGAGCAGUGGAUGUUGUCUACCUAGACUUCAGCAAGGCUUUUGACACUGUCUCCCAUGACAUCCUCAUAGACAAGCUCAGGAAGUGUGGGCUGGAUGAGCGGACAGUGAGGUGGAUUGAGAACUGGCUGAAUGGCAGAGCUCAGAGAGUUGUGAUCAGUGGCACAGAGUCUAGUUGGAGGCUGUAGCUAGCGGUGUCCCCCAGGGGUCAGUACUGGGUCCAGUCUUGUUCAACUUCUUCAUCAAUGACCUGCAUGAAGGGACAGAGUGCACCCUCAGCAAGUUUGCCGAUGAUACAAAACUGGGAGGAGUGGCCGAUGCACCAGAGGGCUGUGCUGCCAUUCAGAGAGACCUGGACAGGCUGGAGAGGUGGGCAGAGAGGAACCUCAUGAAGUUCAACAAAGGCAAGUGCAGGGUCCUGCACCUAGGGAGGAACAACCCCCUGCACCAGUACAGGUUGGGGGUUGACCUGCUGGAAAGCAGCUCUGCGGAGAAGGACCUGGGAGUGCUGGUGGACACCAAGUUAAGCAUGAGGCAGCAAUGUGCCCUUGUGGCCAAGAAGGCCAAUGGUAUCCUGGGGUGCAUCAGGAAGAGUGUUGCCAGCAGGUCGAGGGAGGUGAUCCUGCCCCUCUCCUCAGCCCUGGU